UGCUGAGCGGACCAAAUUUUCGGUUUUUCGGGACCUAUCGGUGUUAGUUUCGCUGCUGCUGUUAUGCUGCACAAACGGAGUGAUAAAACCAUCAUCGGGACGAAUUUCCAUUCUCAGAUGGUUGGCGGUAGUUUUCGGGAUGGCAGCAUUUCACCUGGUUUGCUGGAACGGAGACCAUCGAUGACGAACCUGCGAUCACUUCGCAACCCGUGUGACUGGAAUCGACGGUGGCCUAUACGACGGUUUUGAUGUUGCCCAGAAUUGAACAGCAGGAGCUGUCCAGAUUCGAUUUGAUGCUGGAGGGUCGUCGUGAACGCAGCUCUAGUGUCCAGUGUGCGCUGAACCUCGGUCAGCUUCUGGUGUACCAUGGAACGGACCAAAUCGCCUCGUUGACCAUAACCCGCUCGGUGGUAUGUAGUGUG